UCAGACAGGGUCAGGCAGGGUCGGCCUGGCACCAUGCAUCAGGUCACCUAGGGCUUGAACCAAGGGGCGGGGGCGGGGUCUGGCUCCACGUGCCCACCUGCUGCGGUCUCCGCCCCUGCCCCAGGGCUGCAGCUGGGACCAGCCCGGGCCGGACACCACCACCGGACACUCCACGGCUGGGAGGCCCACUUAGAUGUGGGGCGUUGACCUGGGGCCUGUCCCCCGUGGCGUGGCUCCUGCCAGUGGGGCAGUCCUGGGGGCUGAGGGAAGGCACAUGCCCAUUCUGGGGAGCCUGGUGAGGUGAAGCGCCCCCAGAGGCCUCCUGAGCGCGUGGGCAGCUGGGCCCAGGGCCAUGGGGUCCCAUGAGCCCCCACCUGGCCUGUCUGGCAGAGAGGAGCGACCUGGACACGACCCUGGCGGAGAUGCAGUGGGGGUGGACAUGGCUCCUGUCUAGACCUGUGGACCCCAACUCCGGCCCGCCAGCCUGACCUCUGUCUGCGGGGACAGGAGACCGCGAGGAUGGCCGGAUGGAGGAGGCAGAGUGGCGGUGUGUUGUUCAAAGCUGCCCAACCCCAAGCCCCCUCCAUCCUGCCCAGUCUGGCCAGGCGACCGUGGCUGUGCGUGGGAGGACUCUGGAGAUGGAGCCGCUGCGGGGACAGCGAUGUCCCAUGACCAGCCAGGGGGCCUGGGCUUUGGGCACCCCCCUUUGCAGGGGAUGGGAGUUGGGUCUAGGCAGCAGACCUCCCCACCCCUUCUAGGAUCUGGACCUGAUGCUUCCCUCCUACCCCACCCCUGUUACCGACUUGCGUCAGGUUCUGCCAACCUGUUGGAACAAACACAGUCUGGUUGCCAUGGUGAUCAUAAUGGCUUUGGGGUGAAGAGAUGGUCCGCAGCUGCGGUAGGGAAACUGAGGCCCAGACGUACGAAAGGACUUUGGGCCCACUGACCUGCACCUCCAUUCUCCUGAGAUCUGUUCCCUGGGGGCUCGGGGAGCUUGCUGAACAACGGACUCCCCAUCCCACCAUUCCCCCAAUGGUGUUGAGACUGAGUCAGGCCGUCCUUGAUCAGAGUCCUGGCUCCAUUCACCCCUGCCCGUCUCUCUUUCCACUGCCCUGUGCCUCAGUUCCCCUCAUCUGUAAAGGGAAGGAACACCUGGAGGCUGAUCUCAGAGGUCUGAUGUCCACUUGGGCCCAGGAGGAACUCCUCUCGCAGUAGGCAGAGGUCAGUGGGGUCUGUGACCCGAGGACAGAGGCUGGAGACGGGUUAGGCGUUGCCUGCCCAGGGUAGGAAUCUUCCUCUGUCCCGAGAGCUGUGGCUUCGCUGGGUGUGUGCCUGGGCCUGGUCUCUGCGCUCACCUGCAUCCACGGCAGAUGCUCCAUGGAUCUUCUGUGGCCAGCCCCAGGCACACGAGAAGCCGGCUCAGAAACAGGAUGCACUGUGGGAGUGUGGUUUUUGAGGGGCCCUGCGGGAGGGGGGGGCAGAAGCCCCAGCUCAGUAUCAGGGUGCUGACCCAGCUUGGGGGCGGGUCCUCAAACCCCGCAUCCUGGGACCCUCCCUGCUGGAGCUGACCCAGACAGGUUCCAGCAGAUCCAUGUUAAGUGCUGGGCCCUCCAACCUGGCAUGAGUUGUCAUGGCAACACAUCAGCAGAUCCAGACACAGGCGGAGGACUCCUCAGGCUGCCCAGGGCACCUGGGAACUGGGGCUGCUUCUGCGGGGUUCAGGGGCCACGAUGUGGUGGAGAUCGACCGCAGCCUGGCUGGCCACUGAGGUGGGGACACAGGUGUCUCCAUAAUGCUCCUGGCUGCCACGAGCACUGUGAGCAUCUCAGAUCCACUCCCUGAGGGCUGCCCAGGGAGGUCCCCGCAGGACCCCAGGGUGCUGUUUGCCAAGGGGGCAGGCCCUGCAGCGGUUACAGAGGCUCGAGGCGGCCUUGGGACUGGGGCGGGCAGGACGGCAGGAAAGGACACGACGUGAAGGCUGCAGUUUGUGGAAAUGUUUUAAUUGAGGAUUCUUAGAUACAGUGGUUAAUGGGUUGCCCACAAUUCCUCCCCGACACGAGGCCUCAUGCUGGGACACUGCUGCCCUCCCCCCCCUCCAACAGCAUGACCGCAGUUCACGCUCUUGGGUUACAAGAGUCACAGCUCCAUUAAGCCGAGGACUGUGGUACAAAAGGAACAUUCCAUAGCUCGAGUCACUACAGUUUGCUAGAAACAUCAAUUGCUUUAGAAUACUUUGAACUAUAAAAUAUAUCGAAUUUUCAUAUAUUAACCAUAUACAUGUGUAACUAUUACUAAUGUCGUCAGUCGUUACAAAAUAAGACAUUCAGGGAGCAGGCUACAAACGCACGCGCCAGCCGAUCCCGCAAGCAAGGGCCUUGCACUAGUCCACGCCCUUCACAGCUCAGCCUUGGACAGGGUGUGGGUGAGCACAGCUGUGCGCUGUGCCCUCGGGCCACAGGUACUGCCAGCUCUAGGGGUGCCUCAAGUCCCCCAACUGCAGAUGGAGACACUGACAGAGACCCCGGCGCCCCGCAACCUCCGCUCAAUUCCCCAGGAACCAGCCCCAACCCUCCGUCCAUGGGCUCAGGUCUCAGGCGACCAGCUGCAGGCUGGGUCCUCUGGGUGAGGGCAGACUGGCUUCAGACGGUCUCAGGAACAAGUCUGGUGCGCCCAGCUGUGUCCAUGCCGCCUCCCUGCACUCAGGCCGGGUGGGCACCGCAGGACCGCUCCUCAGGCGGCUCGGCGGAGGCCGCGGGGUGGCACUGUGAGCUGCUGGGGGAGGUGCCUGCUGCCACCUGCUGGGUCUGGUGGUCCCCAGCAGGGCACCUCAGCCACCAAGCAAGCAGCCGGGCCCCAGGGCCUGCACGAGCGGUCAGCGGGCACGCAGAGCAGGCGCCGGCUGCGGUGUCCUCAGCCCUGGUCUUGACUCGGUCACUGUGAGCUCCCCGGUGGGCCAGGCCCGACUUCUGACCUCACGCUGAGGGCUGGUCGCGGGCUCCGACUUCACCAGGCUCCGCUGUCUACCCAGGGUGGGAGCAGAGCUGCAGACACUUCUGUGCAGUCCUAUUUACAAAGAGCCAGGGCGGAGCGGGGCCUGCGCGCGCGUCCCGUGCGUAGGAGCAGGGGCUCACCUCCCGGGUCCUGGCCAGAGGCUGGCGCCCAGCAGCCGCUGGGCCGGGUGGAGGGCGGCCACGCGCAGAGACGAUAACGCAACAAAAACCUUUAUAUAAACAGUUUAUUUACUCUAAACAGCAACACAGACAAAACGCCAUAUAAACACAAAGGAAGUGGUGCAGAAUGGAGACGCCGGCUGACUUUGGAUCUGAGGCUCAUAAGCAACAGCCCGGGUGGUGGUGAGGGGGAGGGGGCCGGUGUGGUGGUUUUUCAUACAGCCAGCGGGGCUACAAAGGUCUGAAACGUCUGAAGCAUGCCUGCUCUGAGAGC